rnacentral:rRNA from 1 species
AUUGAACGCUGGCGGCAUGCCUAACACAUGCAAGUCGAACGGCAGCACAGUCCGUAGCAAUACGGAUGGGUGGCGAGUGGCGGACGGGUGCGUAAUGUGUAGGGAUCUGCCCUGAAGUGGGGGACAACCCGGGGAAACUCGGGCUAAGACCGCAUAAUACUCUACGGAGGAAAUCUGGCUACGUAAGUAGCUGGAGCUUUAGGAUGAACCUACAUCCGAUUAGCUAGUUGGUGAGGUAAUGGCUCACCAAGGCGAUGAUCGGUAGCUGGUCUGAGAGGAUGACCAGCCACACUGGGACUGAGACACGGCCCAGACUCCUACGGGAGGCAGCAGUGGGGAAUAUUGGACAAUGGGGGAAACCCUGAUCCAGCAAUGCCGCGUGGGUGAAGAAGGCCUUCGGGUUGUAAAGCCCUUUAGGUGGGAAGAAGGUUUUAGGGCGAUAAACCCUAGAAUUUGACGGUACCCACAGAAUAAGCACCGGCUAACUCUGUGCCAGCAGCCGCAGUAA